rfam:Rhizobium mesoamericanum STM3625 genomic scaffold, ANZ_1636
CUUCCUCGAUCUGCUGCGGGCAGAUGUAGUGGAUAUGCGCAUCCAUGCCGCCGGCGGUGAUGAUCUUGCCCUCGCCGGCAAUCGCCUCGGUUGAUGGGCCGACGAUGAUAUUGACGCCUGGCUGGGUGUCGGGAUUGCCUGCCUUGCCGAUCGCCGCGAUGCGGCCGUUCCUGAGCCCGAUGUCGGCCUUUACGAUGCCCGUGUGGUCGAUGAUCACGACAUUGGUGAUGACGGUGUCGACGGCACCCUGCGCCCGCGUCGCCUGGCUCUGUCCCAUGCCGUCGCGGAU